CUGGGAAUCUUGCGCAAUGGGCGAAAGCCUGACGCAGCGACACCGCGUGUGGGAAGACGGCCUUCGGGUUGUAAACCACUGUGGAGGGGGAACAACACAAUGAGGGUACCCCUCUAGAAAGUACUUGCUAACUACGUGCCAGAAGCCUCGGUAAUACGUAGAGUACAAGCGUUAUCCGGAUUUAUUGGGCGUAAAGCGUAUCGCAGGUGGGUUUGUGCGUGGCGGGUGUAAUCCCCGAGCUCAACUCGGGAACCGCUCGUCAUACGGCAAAUCUUGAGUCUGUUGGAGGGAACUGGAAUUCUUCGUGGAGGGGUGAAAUCCGUAGAUACGAAGAGGAACGCCAAGGGUGAAGACAAGUUCCUACGGCAGCACUGACACUCAUGAACGACAGCUAGGGGAG
rnacentral:rRNA from 1 species